GUCUCAGUAGUUCAGUGGUUAGAGCACCCGGCUUGGUACGCCAGAGGCCCUGGGUUCAACAUCCGGUUGAGACU
rnacentral:tRNA from 1 species